rnacentral:tRNA from 1 species
GGGGUAGUAGCUCAGUGGUAGAGCUUCUGGUUCGUACGCGGGAAGGCCUUGGUUCUAUUCCGGGCUGCUUUC